CUUCCUUACUCUACAGGAUUGUUGUGACAAUAUGUACAUUAAAGAUUGAGGACAACAGGGACUGUAUGAACACAGUCAACACCCAGUGGUGUUGACUGCAUACUGAUGAGGCUGUAAGCUUUGCAGCCCGAAUCCUGCUAGCUAUAUCCUUCAGUCCAGAGAAGUCUGCUGAGCUCCAGCACAGGGAGACUCUCAGCCUGGCGCUUGACCUCACACUGUGGUGACAGGUCCAAAGUACCAGUCUCCACACUCGAUGCAAAUGCAGUGGUGGAAGACAUCAAGCUGAUGAGAGCUGGAAGGGCUAUGAAAAAUGAAAACAUGACAUUGUCCUGACAGAACUUCCUGAAGUACAUGCAACCAUCCUUGUGCCUGAAUACCUGACCAUUUACAGGAAGUGUUGAUUGGUUUGAGGUAGUGACAAGGUAAGUGAGGAAAUUUUUUAAUGCAUAAUUAUAUUUUUUCUAAUGCAUACUUUCUAUUUCAUAGAGAAUGAAGAAAUUUUGUGUAUCUUUUUUCAUUCCUCAGCAUUGUUUCUAUUCCUUAAA
rnacentral:lncRNA from 1 species